rnacentral:rRNA from 1 species
GACGAACGCUGGCGGCGUGCCUAAUACAUGCAAGUUGAGCGCUGAAGGUUGGUACUUGUACCAACUGGAUGAGCAGCGAACGGGUGAGUAACGCGUGGGGAAUCUGCCUUUGAGCGGGGGACAACAUUUGGAAACGAAUGCUAAUACCGCAUAAAAACUUUAAACACAAGUUUUAAGUUUGAAAGAUGCAAUUGCAUCACUCAAAGAUGAUCCCGCGUUGUAUUAGCUAGUUGGUGAGGUAAAGGCUCACCAAGGCGAUGAUACAUAGCCGACCUGAGAGGGUGCUCGGCCACCUUGGGACUGCGACACGGCCCAAACUCCUACGGGAGGCAGCAGUAGGGAAUCUUCGGCAAUGGACGAAAGUCUGACCGAGCAACGCCGCGUGAGUGAAGAAGGUUUUCGGAUCGUAAAACUCUGUUGGUAGAGAGGAACGUUGGUGAGAGUGGAAAGCUCAUCAAGUGACGGUAACUACCCAGAAAGGGACGGCUAACUACGUG